UUCCGGUUGAUCCUGCCGGAGGCGACCGCUUUGGGAGUUCGAUUAAGCCAUGCGAGUCGUGAGUCUUAGGGACUCGGCAUACUGCUCAGUAACACGUGGAUAACCUGCCCUAUCGUCUGGAAUAACCUCGGGAAACUGAGAAUAAGGCCGGAUAGUUCACAAUGCCUGGAACGGUUUGUGAAUCAAGGUAGGAUGGGUCUGCGGCGUAUCAGGUUGUAGGGGGUGUAAAGGACCCCCUAGCCUUCGACGCGUACGGGUGUUGGGAGACAUAGCCCGGAGAUGGAUUCUGAGACACGAAUCCAGACCCUACGGGGUGCAGCAGGCGCGAAAACUUCACACUGCAGGAAACUGUGAUGAGGGAACUCCUAGUGCAUGCACUAUGUGUAUGUAGAUCCUACUCUUAACAAGUAGAGGGAAAGGGCUGGGAAAGACCGGUGCCAGCCGCCGCGGUAAUACCGGCAGCUCAAGUGGUCGUCGCUUUUAUUGGGCCUAAAACGUCCGUAGCCUGUUUGGUAAAUCUGUGGGUAAAUCAACUCGCUCAACGAGUUGAAUUCUGCAGAGACUGCCAGACUAGGGACCGGGAGAGGUGUGGGGUACUCGAGGGGUAGGGGUAAAAUCCUGUCAUCCUCUGAGGACCACCAGUUGCGAAGGCGCCACACUGGAACGGAUCCGACGGUCAGGGACGAAGCCUAGGGGCACGAACCGGAUUAGAUACCCGGGUAGUCCUAGGUGUAAACGCUGUGAACUUGGUGUCGGGGGUCCGCAAGGGGUCCCCGGUGCCGGAGUGAAGAUGUUAAGUUCACUGCCUGGGGAGUACGGUCGCAAGGCUGAAACUUAAAGGAAUUGGCGGGGGAGCACUGCAACGGGAGGAGCGUGCGGUUUAAUUGGAUCAACGCCGGA
rnacentral:rRNA from 1 species